rnacentral:lncRNA from 1 species
CCUCACUUGAUUCCGCAUCAUGACAUAAAUGUUCCAAGAAUACUUGGCCUUCGGAUAUGCAAGGCAAAAGCUUGGAAGAAUAAACGAAGAGGGUAAAGCAAAUUUGGUAAUAUUUCAUAAUCAAGCAAUUGUGUGGAGACAUGAAAGGCUGAAAUGGUUUUCAUGUGAAAGACCAACCUUAAGGUUAACUAGGGGGUGA